UUAAAUCAAUCAAAACUUUCAACAACGGAUCUCUUGGUUCUGGCAUCGAUGAAGAACGCAGCGAAAUGCGAUAAGUAAUGUGAAUUGCAGAAUUCAGUGAAUCAUCGAAUCUUUGAACGCACAUUGCGCCCGCCAGUAUUCUGGCGGGCAUGCCUGUCCGAGCGUCAUUUCAACCCUCAAGCCCCCGGGCUUGGUGUUGGAGAUCGGCGAGCCCCCCGGGGCGCGCCGUCUCCCAAAUAUAGUGGCGGUCCCGCUGUAGCUUCCUCUGCGUAGUAGCACACCUCGCACUGGGAAACAGCGUGGCCACGCCGUAAAACCCCCCACUUCUGAAAGGUUGACCUCGGAUCAGGUAGGAAUACCCGCUGAACUUAAGCAUAUCAAUAAGCGGAGGAAGUGG
rnacentral:rRNA from 1 species